rnacentral:rRNA from 1 species
AUUGAACGCUGGCGGCAUGCUUUACACAUGCAAGUCGAACGGCAGCACGGGUGCUUGCACCUGGUGGCGAGUGGCGGACGGGUGAGUAAUACAUCGGAACGUGUCCUGAAGUGGGGGAUAACGCAUCGAAAGAUGUGCUAAUACCGCAUAAUCUCUAAGGAGAAAAGUAGGGGAUCGAAAGACCUUAUGCUUUUUGGAGCGGCCGAUGUCUGAUUAGCUAGUUGGUAAGGUAAUGGCUUACCAAGGCGACGAUCAGUAGUUGGUCUGAGAGGACGGCCAGCCACACUGGGACUGAGACACGGCCCAGACUCCUACGGGAGGCAGCAGUGGGGAAUUUUGGACAAUGGGCGCAAGCCUGAUCCAGCAAUGCCGCGUGAGUGAAGAAGGCCUCGGUUGUAAG